rnacentral:rRNA from 1 species
UACAGAGGGUGCAAGCGUUGUUCGGAAUUAUUGGGCGUAAAGCGCGUGUAGGCGGCUUUGCAAGUCGGGUGUGAAAGCCCUCAGCUUAACUGAGGAAGUGCGCCCGAAACUGCAGAGCUUGAGUACCGGAGAGGAUGGUGGAAUUCCCCAAGUAGAGGUGAAAUUCGUAGAUAUGGGGAGGAACACCGGUGGCGAAGGCGACCAUCUGGACGGAUACUGACGCUGAGACGCGAAAGCGUGGGGAGCGAACAGG